GCGGGCAUAGUUUAGUGGUAUAACACGCCCUUGCCAUGGGUGAGACGGGAGUUCGAUUCUCCCUGCCCGCACCA
rnacentral:tRNA from 1 species